UACGGAGGGUGCAAGCGUUAAUCGGAAUUACUGGGCGUAAAGCGCACGCAGGCGGUCUGUUAAGUCAGAUGUGAAAUCCCCGGGCUUAACCUGGGAACUGCAUUUGAAACUGGCAGGCUUGAGUCUUGUAGAGGGGGGGUAGAAUUCCAGGUGUAGCGGUGAAAUGCGUAGAGAUCUGGAGGAAUACCGGUGGCGAAGGCGGCCCCCUGGACAAAGACUGACGCUCAGGUGCGAAAGCGUGGGGAGCAAACAGG
rnacentral:rRNA from 1 species